GACGAACGCUGGCGGCGUGCUUAACACAUGCAAGUCGAACGAGUGGCGAACGGGUGAGUAAUACGUGGGUAACCUGCCCUCUUGUUGGGAUCAGCCUUGGAAACGGGGUCUAAUACCGAAUAACGGGGGAUGGGCUCGCGGCCUAUCAGCUUGUUGGUGGGGUGAUGGCCUACGAAGGCGGUGGCGGGUAGCCGGCCUGCGAGGGUGAUCGGCCACAAUGGGGCUGAGAGACAGCGCAGGCGCCUACGAGAGGGAGCGGUGGGGCAUGUAGCACAAUGGGCGCAAGCCUGAUGCAGCGAGGCCGCGUGGUGAAUGAAGGCUUUCGGGUUGUAAACCUGUGCCGAAAUGGAAGGGGUAGGUGUAGAAGAAGCCCCGGCUAACUACGUGACAGCAGCCGCGGUAAUUC
rnacentral:rRNA from 1 species